AUGUUGAAAACUUGGAGGGUACAUUGGCUGCUUCACAUUAGACCCGGAAAGAAGACCGCCGGUAACGACUAUGAAGCAGAGUCGCAUAGUAAUGGACCCGUGAAUAGAUGUGAGGAUGAGUAUUUCAAAAAACCAAAGAGAAAACAACUAGGAGAAGAUAUCCAAGAAGCAAAUGCAACCAGAGUUGUGAAUUAUCCGGAUGUGUCCACAUGGCCUAUUCAAACGUAUGACAUGCAAAAACAAAAUGAUGGGAAUUCAUGUGGAAUAUUUCUCCUUCGAUGCUUUCAAUAUUGGGAUGGUGACAAAUGGACAGGCUUAUUUUCACAGAGGUCAAUUGAUGAUUCGAGGAAGGUAAUGAUAGCGCAACUUAUCUUUUCGGAAAGAAACAAGCUUGAUGAAGUGAAAAACAAAGUUAUUCGGAUUUCUCGGCAAAUGCUUUAG
rnacentral:rRNA from 1 species